CCAAGGUAAGACGUUGCUCUCGU
rnacentral:siRNA from 1 species